CCUCUCGUAGCUUUGUGGUAGAGUAAUGGUGCUUAAAGCCAGAGAUCCGAGUUCAAUUCCCGGCGAGGGCG
rnacentral:tRNA from 1 species